AGAAGAAUGUCUGGCAUGUCAUAGGCACUCAGUAAACAUUUAUGACUGACUUAAUGAAGGGUAGAGCACAUUUGGAGGGAGAUGUGAUUAUGUUAAAAAGAUGAUUUCCUGGAGAAAUGAUGAUGGCGGCAUCUAAAUCAAGAAAACAACGUAUUUAGAGAGAGAUGGCCCUUUGUUUAAAAAAAAAAUACAAAACCAAAAAGAGCCCAACUAAACAAAAACAAAACAGUCUGAAAACUUCCAAGCGUGAAGGUAUGCACAUCUAUAUUCAAAUUUGGUAGUGCCAUGCUGUAUAUGAAUAUAUACUUCCAGUAAGAAAUGUCCAAAACUUUUCCAAAGUGCUUCUACUCCAGUUUCAGCCAAUUGGAAAACACAAUCUUAAAAGAUGGUCAGCAAAGUUUUCAAAAUUGAGUGAGGACAUGAGAGAAUACAGGCCCGGAGAACACAGGCUUUUUGCAGAGUAUCGAGAGGAGGAGGCUUACUGGAUCUUAUCUGAAAAUGUGCUAGUGGAGAAGGCAAAGAUAAAUAUACACA
rnacentral:lncRNA from 1 species